CCUACGGGUGGCAGCAGUGAGGAAUAUUGGUCAAUGGGCGAGAGCCGGAACCAGCCAAGUCGCGUGAAGGAUGACGGCCCUACGGGUUGUAAACUUCUUUUGGCAGGGAGCAAUUGGGUCCACGCGUGGGCUUAGCGAGAGUACCUGAAGAAAAAGCAUGGGCUAACUCCGUGCGAGCAGCGGCGGUAAUAGGGAGGAUGCGAGCGUUAUCCGGAUUUAUGGGGUUUAAAGGGUGCGUAGGCGGCAUAUCAAGUCAGCGGUAACAAUUCGGGGCUCAACCCCGUCGUGCCGUUGAAACUGAUGUUCUUGAGUGGGCGAGAAGUAUGCGGAAUGCGUGGUGUAGCGGUGAAAUGCAUAGAUAUCACGCAGAACUCCGAUUGCGAAGGCAGCAUACCGGCGCCCAACUGACGCUGAAGCACGAAAGCGUGGGUAUCGAACAGGAUUAGAUACCCGUGUAGUC
rnacentral:rRNA from 1 species